rnacentral:lncRNA from 1 species
CCUCCUUGAAGGGGAAAAAUCUUCAACAGGAACCAGGCCACUGAGAGAUGGAAGAAAGGACAGCUCAUACCCAAACCUCACGAGGAGGCUACCAGAAUCACUGGACGGUUCCUUUAUUGGGAAAACCCCCAGCGACUUUCCAAUGAAAUGGAGAAGGGAAAAGAGACCUUUCGGAAUCAGAUGAGUCCAUGAACCGGCAGCAGUCAGGGCAGUGGUGACAUCACAGAAGGAGGAUGGGCCUUAGACAGUCAUUACCCUUUAGAAUCCUUGCAACUUUGAGCAAGUUCAUGAAUCUCACUAAGGCUCAGUUUCCUCCACAGAAUUAAGCAAUAUCAGAGCCUCUGCACCGGACAACUCCAGAGGGCACCAUUGGGGUUAUAUUUUAUGUUUGCCUAACGUUCACUGCAGUGAGUAGGUGCGUGCUUUCUACGAUGUCCUGAGGUCUAAAGGGGUAGAGUUCCGUGUGUGGCAUUUUAGGCCUGGAAAGGAUGGGAGCCUACAAAACCAGAGAAAUAUUGCAGAGAUCCCAGAGCACCACCCAUGAUGCCAGGCUGGAGGAAGCAGCAGACUAGAGGAAUUCAGGACAGACGAGCCAGGAAAGAGGACCCAAUGCAGAGCUCACAUCCCACCCUCCUUCCCCUAUGACAAAGCACUGGCAAACCCUGCCAAAGAAGCUUGGCUGCAAAGCAGUCUGGAACUGGACCCAGGAGCUCACCACCACAGGGAGUGCUGCACUUUGACUGGACAGAAUGCAUCCUCCAUGCCCACAGAGUAUGUGCCCAGGAUGAAUCUCACUGUAUCCCAGUUCCUCAUGAUGGGCCCCAAACCUCUUUUUCACAGUAAUAAAGAAAACACACUUUACAAAAAGGCAGUUCAUCU